AAAGAGCAAGCCAUGCAUGUGUAAGUAUAAAUAGUUAACUUUGAAACUGCGAAUGGCUCAUUAUAUCAGUUAUAGUUUAUUUGAUGAAGAAUACUAAUUGGAUAACCGUAGUAAUACUAGAGCUAAUACAUGUAUAAAGUCUUGUAGACUGCAUUUAUUAGAAUGAAAACCAUAGGUUUCGGCCUAUUCGUGAGUAAUAAUAACUAAUCAUAUCGUAUGCUUAUGUAACGAUGUGUCUUUCAAGUUUCUGCCCUAUCAGCUUUCGAUGGUAGUGUAUUGGACUACCAUGGCAGUAACGGGUAACGAAGAA
rnacentral:rRNA from 1 species